UACGAAGGGGGCUAGCGUUGUUCGGAAUUACUGGGCGUAAAGCGUAUGCAGGCGGAUCGUUAAGUCAGGGGUGAAAUCCUGGAGCUCAACUCCAGAACUGCCUUUGAUACUGAAGAUCUUGAGUUCGGGAGAGGUGAGUGGAACUGCGAGUGUAGAGGUGAAAUUCGUAGAUAUUCGCAAGAACUCCAGUGGCGAAGGCGGCUCACUGGUCCGAUACUGACGCUGAGGCACGAAAGCGUGGGGAGCAAACAGG
rnacentral:rRNA from 1 species